rnacentral:rRNA from 1 species
AGAACGAACGCUGGCGGCAGGCCUAACACAUGCAAGUCGAACGCUCUAGCAAUAGAGAGUGGCGCACGGGUGCGUAACGCGUGGGAAUCUACCCUUGACUGCGGAACAACGUUUGGAAACGAACGCUAAUACCGCAUAAUGUCUUCGGACCAAAGAUUUAUCGGUCAGGGAUGAGCCCGCGUUGGAUUAGCUAGUUGGUGAGGUAAUGGCUCACCAAGGCUCCGAUCCAUAGCUGGUCUGAGAGGAUGAUCAGCCACACUGGGACUGAGACACGGCCCAGACUCCUACGGGAGGCAGCAGUGAGGAAUAUUGGACAAUGGGGGCAACCCUGAUCCAGCCAUGCCGCGUGAGUGAUGAAGGCCUUCGGUUGUAAAACUCUUUUAGAUGUGACGAUGAUGACGGUAACAUCAGAAAAGCUCCGGCUAACUUCGUGCCAGCAGCCGC